AGAGUUGGAGAGAAAACUGGAAGCUGAGUAGGAUCAACAGCAUCAGAAGCAGCCAGGAAGCCAGGGCACUGCUCUCUAUGUAAACUUAUAUUCAUGUGCCCAAGGAAUCAUGGGUAAAUAAUGCCAUGUGACCACAGAGGCAGUUACUGCGAUUGCUUUACAAGUCAGAGCCACUGGAAGCGGAUGGCAGAUCAGUCUACCUAUCAGGUUUCCAACCUUAUCUGCUCCCAAGAAAGAGCUGUUGAUGCCCUAAGCUGGAAAGGCAUGGCAGGAGAUUGGAGGAAAACAGGUAGAAAAUAGAAGAAAGCUUAUAUAGAAGCCAGUUGUUCCCACGGAAACCUGUAGUUAAUAGAGUGGCCUUGUUACGUUAGUGCAUGUAUAUUGUAAUGUCUGUAAGAAGGAGUCAGAAUGAUGUGACAGGGUUUAGAGAACUGGAGUAAUAAGUAUAAAAUACCAGACACAACUAGGUGUGAAGAGUGUCUCAUUAAAUAUAUAAAAUUUAUAUAUGGAAUUAAGCUAUAGAACAGAGAGGUCAUUAGACCCAACAAACUUUAAUUCUCCAGAUGCCUUAGGUUAUUCUUAUUUGCUUUUAGCUCUCAACGCCCUGAAAGAAGUACCUGGAAUACAGCAGGAGUCAUAAACAUUUGGAAGUGAAGCACCUAGCUUGUCCCUACUUGGUGAAGACCCGAUAUAUCACUAACAACCAUAUUGACUGAGUCAUAUAGAAGCAGGUCAACCAUGCGACUCUCCCAGCUUAGAGAAGCCUUUGUGAAUUUUCAUAUUUCGUGCAGUAGUCAGACAGUGGCAGACACUGGGUCUGGGUCUUAGGCAGUGAACAGUGACAGUGUUGCACAUAGUUGCUUGCACACAUUUAGAACACGCCUGAAUAACACCCACAAUGCUGCUUCUGCAGAGUAGUCUGUCCAACCUACCAUUGUCUCUGUCUUGCCCUGAGUACUUGCUAAAUACUGUUCACUCCAUCAUCUUUCGUCAUUGAUGCUGGGACUAAAUAUAAAGGUUCCGGGUUCAGCCAAUCUCAGACCCUUCUGUCCUCCCAUGUCUGGAGAUGUUGGCACCAUUUCAAAGCCUUGUAUGAGAAACCAGUUUGUCCCCAGUUCCUCAACCUCAGUGCAUGGGAAAGGCCUGAGAUGGGCAGGCUGCUUGCUCUACUGGAGCCUUUCUGGCAUUCACUCUGCAGAGAGAAAGAGCAGCCUCAUUGUACGCAACCACCUUCCACCUGCACCUGACUGCAAAGUAGCCUAAUGGUCAGUGCAGCCGGAGUGUCUUUGCUGGGAGCCAGCUGCACUUGGGGAUUGUGUGUUCUUGGCACACAGCAGACUUCUGAGCCUCUUGAACUGCCUCCAAGAAUGAAUCUCGUUAGUCUACAAAAUAUAUUUAUUUGGUAACUAUGCUACUGUGUGUGUAUGAGUCUGAUACAAUGCAAACCUUGAAAUGUCUUACUAAAAGGACUUAUGAAUUCAUAGGAAAUUGGAUCCAACUUCAGAAUAGCGAAUUAUGUUGCUGGUCAAUAAAGUUGCCCAGCCACAAGGGACCAGAGAAAAACCUUCCCCCCCAUCCCUUUUUUGACACCCUUUCCCUGCCUAAUUGCCCUACUAGAUUCUAACUGAUGCAGAGUGAAGAAAGGUGCUGACAGAGUACAUGUGCAUAAAGAUUGAAGAGGGAAAUGACCUCUGGGGCAAUCAGUCGAGUUUCUUCCCAUGGCUGUGAUCCUAUCAUGCCUGAUUCCCAAACUUGCAAUUUCUAACAAUUUCGAUUCUUGGAGUUUCUGAGCAAUUUGUUAAAUGCCUGUUCAACACAGACAGAUAUUUAUUUUCAGCCUUGGCUUGGAAAUGCCUACAAACUGAUUCAUGUUGGUGGUCGUUCUGACACUUCUGUGAAUUGGUUGAAUAAAUAUGAUUUUAGAAUUUCACAGU
rnacentral:lncRNA from 1 species